rnacentral:lncRNA from 1 species
AUGAGACGUGAGGAGAGGUCAGGACAUUCAUUCUUAAUUGAAGUCAAAUCAGAAGCCAGCUACUGGUCUAAUGAAAAGAGAAACCAAACUUCACUAGUCACAGUAAAAGCUAAAGGAAGACAACGGACAAGCAGUUUGCAUCUUGCUGUAUUAAAAGUUGUUUGUUUGUUUGUACAUAGAGGUAUCGUACGUGACAUCUUUUACUUGUUUUGUGCUCAUCUAACUUACAUGUCAAUGAAUAUUCAUUUUCUGGCUACCAGUCACAGCUCUGGCUACCAGUCACAUCUCUGGCUACCAGUCACAGCUCUGGCUACCAGUCACAUCUCUGGCUACCAGUCACAGCUCUGGCUACCAGUCACAGCUCUGGCUACCAGUCACAUCUCUGGCUACCAGUCACACCUCUGGCUACCAGUCGCUACCAGUCACAUCUCUGGCUACCAGUCACAUCUCUGGCUACCAGUCACAUCUCUGGCUACCAGUCACAGCUCUGGCUACCAGUCACAGCUCUGGCUACCAGUCACAUUUCUGGCUACCAGUCACAUCUCUGGCUACCAGUCACACCUCUGGCUACCAGUCACAGCUCUGGCUACCAGUCACAGCUCUGGCUACCAGUCACAUCUCUGGCUACCAGUCACAGCUCUGGCUACCAGUCACAUCUCUGGCUACCAGUCACAUUUAUGGCUACCAGUCACAUCUCUGGCUACCAGUCACACCUCUGGCUACCAGUCACAGCUCUGGCUACCAGUCACAGCUCUGGCUACCAGUCACAUCUCUGGCUACCAGUCACAGCUCUGGCUACCAGUCACAGCUCUGGCUACCAGUCACAGCUCUGGCUACCAGUCACAGCUCUGGCUACCAGUCACAUCUCUGGCUACCAGUCACAUCUCUGGCUACCAGUCACAUUUCUGGCUACCAGUCACAUCUCUGGCUACCAGUCACACCUCUGGCUACCAGUCACAGCUCUGGCUACCAGUCACAUCUCUGGCUACCAGUCACAGCUCUGGCUACCAGUCACAUCUCUGGCUACCAGUC